AUAAAAACCAACCUUAUAAAACUAGGAGUACAAUCAGCCCUCUAUACCUGUUGGUUCCACAUCUGCGCAUUCAACCAACCACAGAUCAAAAAUAUUCAAAAAAUAAAAGAUAAUACAAAUUUUUAAAUGCAGUAUAACAACUAUUUAUAUAGCAACCUAAUGAAGAGAAUCUGUAAUAAACCUACAACUAACAUCAUUCUCUCUUUUUUUUCUUUUUUCAAGACAGGUCUUGCUCUGUUGCCCAGGUUGGAGUAAAAUGGUACAAUCACAGUUCACUGCAGCCUCGACCUCUCCAGUUCAAGUGAUCCUCCUGACUCUGCCUUCUGAGUGGCUGAGACUAUAGGCAUGCAUCAUUAUGCCUGGCUUUUUAAAAAACUUUUUGUAAAGAUGGGGUCUCCCUAUGUUGCCCAGGCUGAUCUUGAACACCUGGGCUCAAGGGAUCCUCCUGCCUUGGCAUCCCAAAGUAUUGAGAUUACAGGCAUGAGCCACCAUGCCUGGUCCUAACAUCAUUUUUUGGAUACUGCGCUUACUUCCUAAGAUCAAGAACAAGCUGUAUGAAUGUCAUGGUUUCCCUGUUUAUUGAAAUUAUCUUUUAACGACAACUACUACUUCUUGAAACCACAUUGUUAAACUAAGAAAAACAACCAGCAACUACUACUCCUAUUUACUUGUACUAGCUCAUCUGACUUCCACAAAAAUCCUAUGAGAAAGGAGAUGUGUGUAUGAGUUCUGCAGAAGUCCACCAAAUGUGGGCCAGGGUUAUUUCCCUGGUGAUGCUCUGAAGCUUUUGCCAAAGGACAAAUGGAAACAGGAAGUACAAUCAUGCACUGGGGUAAAGAAGAUUCAUCUGCUCUUAGCUACCUACCAUGCCAACACUCCUGAGAAAGCUCACAGAGGCCCAUGAUGCCCACCUGGAUCUGAGGACCUAGAAAGCCACAACAGGCAACCAUAAUCUGGGUCUUCCCUCAGCCAACUCCCCUGCAUAAAGUGAAUGAAUGAAAAACCCAUCUUAUAUUAAUCAGAGUUCUCUAGAGAAAAAGAACCAAUCAGAUGUGUAUAUAUAGAAAGAGAGAAUUAUUUUAGGGAAUUAGCUCACAUCAUUAUGCAGGCUGGUCAAUCAAAAAUCUGUGGAGUGGGCUAGCAGGCUGGAGACCCAGGGAAAGGCUAAAUUGCAGUUUAGAUCAGAAGGUCAUCUACUGGCAGAAUUCCCUCAUCUUCCAGGAAGGUGGAUCUUUUUCUACCAAGGCCUUCAGUUUAUUAGAUUAGGCCCAUGAACAUGCUGGAGGGUAAUCUGCUUUACUCAAUACAUACUGAUUUGAAUGUUAGUAUCAUCAAAAAGACCUUCACAGAAACAUCUAAAAUAAUGUUUGACCAAAUGUCUGCAUACCAUGGCCAAGCCAAGUUUACACAUAAAAUUAAUUAUCACACAUCCCACGAACACCAUCCCCAACAGAUGCUCAUGAGCAUUGUGGUUAUGAUUUCAACUUCAGAAUAAGGCAGAAAUGUGUACAAAUCCUGACCCUUUGACUUAUCAGCUCUCUAAAAAUCAUUAUAUGUCAACUUUCUAGACUUUACCUGAAAAACAGAAACCAAGAUACCCACAGCAUAAGAUUGUUAGGAUUGAAGAAAUUGUUACGAUUGUUAGGUAUGAAGAAAUUUAAACAAUGAUGCAGCUGAGAUAUUUAGAAUUGUACCUGGCAUGUACUUUGUAUUAAAUAACUAAUAAGGCCUUUUUCUGGUGAAAACAAAAUAAGCCUGGAUAAAAGAAGAUGAGACCAGAUUGGUUGAUGGCUCGGCCUGGGUGGGCUCCUGGCCCAUCUGAAAUUACAUUACUCUUAUGUAGUGCCUUUUUUGUUAUUGCUAAAAUAAAAUAAAUAAAACACUCUACUUUCAUACUUUGUAAAAUGCACUUCUCAUUCAGUUCCUCUUCCUGUGCCUUUUCCCUAUUGUCUAUCUGCACACAGCUGUUUUCUUCUGCACAUUUUCAUCACAGAGAAUUACCAGGUGUAGGUCAAAAGAUGCCACAGAGAUAACAAAGGAAAGGAAAAGCUUUUCUGCACUUCUAUCCUUGUAAGCACAAAAAUUAAUCACACUUUCAGUAAACAGGUCAGGUAAGUCAGUCCUGCACUUGAACCUUUUCUCCCCAAAUAAAUAGUUGAAAUGGGAAUGUCGAUUUCUGUAUUUGAACAGAAAUGUAUUAGUGUAGCUUUCAAAAGAAGACUACUCUCUCCAUAUGAAUAUCAUCAGACCCACAAAUACACAUAUGCAUACAUUCACAGUUCAUCCUAACGCUGCAGAAUAUUCUAAGAGUAACACAUUUCUGUACAAAUCAAGCAGCAGCUUUCACUUGCAUGCUAAUCUUCAAAUUAAUUCUGCAAUGAUCCAUUCAUUCCACAUCCCAACCUACAUCCUCAGAAAAACAAAGAUGUAAGUAAGGAACUCAGUAUAACAUGUUUGACUUUAGACACUACUCAAAUAUACUCAAACUUUAUAUGAAUAUGGAUAUUGCUCCUAGAUUAGGCAGUUCAGAAAACAAAUCUUGAUUAUUCUUAGUUACAAUGUAGUAUAAAAUAACAACAAUUUCAUGUCAACAACAGAAUCUCCUAAAAGAUCUUAUAAAGAUAAAAAGUCUUAGGUGUUAGUCGUCAAAGACUAAGUUGUAAAUGUAUCAUUGUAUUUGUGUAGUUAAUAAAACCCUAGACAAGAUAUGGGUUCCAGUUCUUGAACCACCACCACCUGUUCACCUUAAAUAAGUCAACUAAC
rnacentral:lncRNA from 1 species